rnacentral:rRNA from 1 species
UACGUAGGGCGCAAGCGUUAUCCGGAAUUAUUGGGCGUAAAGGGCUCGUAGGCGGUUUGUCGCGUCAGGAGUGAAAACUCGGGGCUUAACCCCGAGCCUGCUUCUGAUACGGGCAGACUAGAGGUAUGCAGGGGAGAACGGAAUUCCUGGUGUAGCGGUGAAAUGCGCAGAUAUCAGGAGGAACACCGGUGGCGAAGGCGGUUCUCUGGGCAUUACCUGACGCUGAGGAGCGAAAGUGUGGGGAGCGAACAGG